GUGGGGGAAGGCAAUACUAUCAACAGGAAGCGGAAUGUGAUACAAAAGAAGACUGCUGGUCGUGUGACAACACAUGGAUCACAGCCCCCUGUGGCACGUGUAUGAUACAGAUGGUUCACGGUUCACACAUAGUUUGUCUGCAAAACAUCGGAAUACAUCAAGUCCUAACAUAGCGUAUGUAUCUGCUGCUGGUAUUAAUAUUCAUCAUAUAAAUAUGUUGAAGUUAUUUUUGUUAUAAAAUGUGCUGGAUUCCAUAAUGAACUGUGUGCAAUCCCUCUUUUUAGCAUUAUACGCAUUGUGGGGAGUAUAGCAUGCACGCCUUUCUGACGGCCAAAGUCCACAACUCUUGGAUUUCUGAAUUCCUAUUGGAUCCCUCCAGUCGUUGCAUCAGACAAUUGUUGUUUCAUUGUGUAUAAUAAUGAGUAAUGUUUGUCACUUAAAUCCAUAGAGGAAGCAAAAGUACUGCAAGUCCCCAUGGUUUUAGGAUGGUGAUGUACCUUCAGUUGUUGGCGAUCUACAACCCAUUCUUAUCAUCUAUUGUGAUAUAUUGUGAUACAUUUGUAUGCUUAUAGGCUAGUUUUAAAUAACAAUGAGUGAUAUGCUAGAUAUUUAACUGUCCCUUGUUGAUAGGCUUUUAUAGUUUAAAUGCAUGUGUUAUUUAUAACAUUGAUAGUUAUGAUAUGGCUGAAAUACUGCCUCACAUUAUCACUUAAUAUUGUUUCACUUUCAUAUCUGUUUCAGUCAGCACAAUGGUUUCCUUGGUGAUGAUAUGGAUGGCAUGCUCGGUAGUUACUACUGGAGCCACUCCAUGCAAGAAAACCCAUCACUGUUCAGACUGUAACAAAGGGUCCGGGGAUUGCCUCACUGAGUGUGACACGGGGUAUUACGGACGUAAAUGCAACUCUACCUGCAGCAAGAACUGUAGGAAUAACACAUGUGUGAUCUCAAGCCAUGGUAGUGAUAACUGCACUGACGGGUGUGUCCCAGGAUACCAAGGCAUUGGCUGCAACAUACCAUGUGACAGUCCAGGAGGUAACUGCACAGCAUGUCCAGGUGGUUGUGAUGGAGGAUAUUGUCAGUUGAACUCCUCCUGUGUGUCUGGAUGUGUAGACUCCUACUACGGGACUGACUGUGGUGAAAAAUCGGAUAUUAUAUUAUACGUCUGGCUGUAAUAUCAUGACUUUCCUAAGGGAUGCUUUAGGCGUUUAGGUGGUAAAGUGGGACUACAUGUAGGGCUUUCCACAGCAGCUUUCGGUUUCAUGGCAGUCAUCUUCCUGGUUGUGUGCUGCAAGUACCGCCACCGUUUGAGAAAGGACAGUGUUACCAAGACAAAGGAUGGUGUGUGCGACUCUGUUGUCGAGAAGGGCGAUGCCUCUGUUGUUGAGCUGGAAUGGUAUUCUGAGAUACCACUGAAAGACAUGGCCAUACAUUGUGGGACAUCUAAUGGAAGAGGAAGUGCAGCUGGUGGUCGAGCGGAUGAUGUUUAUGACGUUGCAGAUGAAGGCAAACGGGAAUUUGCUGAUGUCGUUGGCAAUAUUUACUCAAAAUUGUCACAUGCUUAGUCUCUAUUUUGCUCUGCAAAGGUCUUUUGUUAACUAAUGACACUGUCUAUUCAGUAUGACCAUUCUUUCAUUGAUCUUUCCCCUACGUGAUAAAGUGGACAGAGUAUCUGCCCAGAUUGUGGAAUGUUGGUGGUUCGAUACAAGCAUUCGUCAUGACGAGGACAAGGGCGGGGAGUCAGUAUAUUGUCUCUGAGGCUGCAAGGUCCAUGGUAAACUGCGGCAUGACAUCUUAAUGAGUUCGCGCUAUAAAACUGGAAUAGCUCGGGACAUAUGCAUGCACAUCGCUAUAUAAGUGCAACUAUCUUGAAAGUAAAACCAUUUUUUACCUCAUCUUUGUUUGAAAGGAUAUUGCCUAUUGUAGAAUAUAGUAUGAUUUGUGUAAUUAUUAUUUACAUAACUAUAAAUAUGGAACCAUAUCCAACCUUUUGUUUGUCCGUGUGUUUAGAUAUGGAAUGAUGUUAUUUACAUGAACAGUGAAGUUGUGUUCAUUAAAGUUACCUUCCACUA